UACGUAGGGGGCAAGCGUUGUCCGGAUUUAUUGGGCGUAAAGAGCGUGUAGGCGGCCAUGCAGGUCCGUUGUGAAAACUCGAGGCUCAACCUCGAGACGUCGAUGGAAACCGCAUGGCUAGAGUCCGGAAGAGGAGAGUGGAAUUCCUGGUGUAGCGGUGAAAUGCGCAGAUAUCAGGAGGAACACCAAUAGCGAAGGCAGCUCGCUGGGACGUUACUGACACUGAGGCGCGAAAGCGUGGGGAGCGAACAGG
rnacentral:rRNA from 1 species